AUUAAUGAAGAAAAGAAGAUGAGUACGAUAAUUUCCACUGACGACCAGGAAAUGCAACAGCAGCAGCAGGAGCUUAAGAGUGAACCUGAAGAAGUUGAAAGUUUAUGCAAAUCCGAUGAACAAACUGCUUCUGAUCAGCAAGCAACUGCUGAUAAUAAUUCUAGUGAAAAGAUUGUUGAUCCUAAGAGAAUUAAAAGGUAAAGAAUUCUUACUAAAUAAUUCAUCGUGACGUUUUAACGUUUUCUCAUUAUGUCAUACGUAUAGAUGGAGGAAUUUCCGUUCUUGUUCGGCUAAUCUUUUACACCUAACAUUAUCUUUUAACAAUAUCUCCU
rnacentral:lncRNA from 1 species